UAAUUUUCACUAAAAAUUCUACAAUUGUAUCGUUCCCUCUAUUACACUAAAACCCUAAAAAGAAAAAAAUUGAGCGCCUCUUCUUGUUAUUCCUCUCAAAAUGUUGGCUAGCCAUCUCUACCUCAUCUCAAUUGUUUGCGAUUUCUCAUCAAUGGACUCUCAAUCAUCGUCCCAACUUUUGUAUCCUCUCUCACUUGUAUCAAGUUUAUUCCUUUCUUGAACCGUUCUUGUUGUAAACCCUUAUUUUUUCUUAAAACUUAAAUUUAUAGUUUUUUAUUCUUCAUUUGUUUUGUUUCUGAUUAUAUAUUAUCCGUUCUUGUUGUACAACUGCGAUAUUCGCUUUACAUGUACCUUUUCCUUCUGAUUAAACAUGGCAGUGGAACUUUGCUGAAGGAAUCAAUGUCUUCUAUUUAUUUUUCCUUUUUUUUUCUACUUGGUAUUUUCUUCACUUACGCGAGGGCACCAUCGACUGUGACUUUUCAUAUGACAUCCGCAAAAAUUUCCUCUUCCAAACAAAAUCUGAAACACAUGAUGUUAAAGAGUUACUUGGUUCCUCGAUUACCGAAGACAACAAAUUUUGGAUUAGACUUAAUAUAGAGCAGACUGGUUUCUACAGGGGGGAAAUAUGAUGAGCUGCUUGCUGCUAAACUUAGAUAUGCAAUAGAGAAAAUCUCCAUCAGAUCGGUUUGGAAUUUUGGAUGAUACAUAUGCACUUUGUAUGGCUCGCAAAGAAUCUUUGACCUCCUUGCUUAACUUGAUGGGAGCUUAUAGGAAGGAAGAUGAUUAUACUGUGCUCUCUAACUUGAUAUCAGUAAUGCUAUCUUCUCAAUAUUGCUAAUUACUUAGGUUAUUUAUUGGAUCUAAUUUCAGUUCUCUUGUUUUAAAGAUAAGUGAUAAAGUUCAAUGUAUUGCAGCUGAUGCAGUUCCAGAUUUACUAGUAUUCCCUUUUGAUGGCGUGGAAUCUCCUUAUGUAUUCCCUUUUGAUGACUAUUUUUAAUGGUGGCAGGCAGUUUAUGUGGCUGUAAUGAAACGGGCAACCAAAUCUAACCUGUCGGGUUAUGAAUCACUUCUGAAAGCAUACAGAGAAACUGACCUAAGUCAGGAGAAAACGCGUAUUCUGGGUAAUGAAAUAUCUUCAGUGAAUGAGCGAAUUUUUCUUGGAUGCAUUUUUCUUGGGUAAAGCUCUGGCUGAAACUUUGAACGAGGGAAUUGAGACGAUGGUUGCUGAGGUUUUCUAUAGUUUGACUGGUAGCAUAUACUAUUGUGUUGGACCUUAAUGUUCAAUAGGUGAUCUUAAUAAUAACUGGUUUAGGAUCAUAGUAGUCAAUAGCUUCGCAAUCCCGCUAUAGCAGGGCGGAGCAGAGGCUGGACAUGCUAUUGGAAGAGCCUUAGCAGUGCAUAACAGUACAGUUGGUCCAGAGUGGUUUCUGUCCCGCUAUCCAUUUCCCCUCUGAAAAACCAAUGUUUCCCAUUGAAGAAGUGUCUUGUGUCAAACACCAACACGACACUAACAUGUCUUUAUAUCCAAUAACAUGUUUCUCAAAUUAUUAUUGGUGUUUCCGCGUCAGUAUCUAUAUUUUCUGUGUAUUUGGCUGUGUCAGACCUUCAUAUAUCAAUCUAACGUUGCAGUGACGCACAAUUUAAAAUUGAUGCAUUGCACUGUGAACAACAUUCUGCUGAUGGGGUUAUUUCAAAUUUAGAAUUUAGAUGCACUUCUUUGACUAGUUUGAAACUAAUUUAUAUACAGGAAGAAGUGUUGGAUAAAGCCAAAAAAGCAAAGGAGAAAGCAGCACGUGAAGCUACAGAGGCACAACCACAGGGUCUUGUUAUUCCUUCGUACUCAUACAUUGGAAAUAAUGUUCGGAUGCUGAUUCUGCUGUUGUGAUUGCAGAUAGUCUUAGGAGAGAGAAGUCCACAAAAGGCUUUUAAAUACACGGAACUACUUGUUUUAAUACCGGAUCCUUUUCAAUGGAUAGCACAUUUGUAGCGUACCAUCCUUGCUCUCAGGAAGUUGAAUUGUCAUCCUUGUGAACUGAAUAUGGUUCUUUUGGUUCUCAUCCUCAAAAUAUCAGCAUGUUGAAUGUGCCUGCUUCGUGUUAUUUUAUUUAUCACAUAUAAAAUCGAUGCAAUGAAUGGAGUGGGGGAUCUGGUAUUGCUGCUUUUUGGGAAGGUUGAAGUCACUGCUAUCUUGUUUUUUUAGUAGGAAUGUACCUAGUCUAGUUGAGGAGGUAGUCUAUCUUUAAUUUAGAUAAUAUUUACAAGGCUAUUCAUGUAAAAUAAUAUCCGAAACUGUUAUUUGGAUAGUGCAAUCUUCAUUGUCAUA